GACGAACCGUCCGAACGUUAUUCGGAAUCACUGGGCUUAAAGGGUGCGUAGGCGGCGCGGAAAGUUGGGUGUGAAAUCCCUCGGCUCAACCGAGGAACUGCGCCCAAAACUACCGUGCUCGAGGAAGAUAGAGGUGAGCGGAACUUAGGGUGGAGCGGUGAAAUGCGUAGAUAUCGUAAGGAAGACCAGUGGCGAAGGCGGGUCUCUGGACAGUUCCUGACGCUGAGGCACGAAGGUCAGGGGAGCAAACGGG
rnacentral:rRNA from 1 species